rnacentral:rRNA from 1 species
UGCCCAAUGAUAAUUAUUAAAUGGCUGCAGUAAUUUGACUGUGCAAAGGUAGCAUAAUAAUUAGUUUUUUAAUUGAGGACUUGUAUGAAAGGAAAAAUGAAAGAUUUUUUUUAUUGUUUUUAUUAUUAAAAUUUUAUUUGUUGGUAAAAAAGCUAAUAAGUAUUUUAGGGACGAGAAGACCCUAUAGAAUUUAAAAUUUAAAUGUUGAUUAUUUGUUUAGUUUUAAAGAUUUAUUAAUUUAUAUAAUUUUUUAUUGGGGUGAUUAAUAAAUUUAUAUAUCUUUAUUUUUUUGUUUCAUUAAUUUAUGAUUAUUUGAUCCUUUUUAAAGAUUGAAAGAUAAAUUACC